rnacentral:rRNA from 1 species
UAAGGAAUAUUGGUCAAUGGACGCAAGUCUGAACCAGCCAUGCCGCGUGAAGGAUGAAGGUCCUCUGGAUUGUAAACUUCUUUUAUCUGGGACGAAAACGGGAUUUUUAUCUCAAUUGACGGUACCAGAGGAAUAAGCACCGGCUAACUCCGUGCCAGCAGCCGCGGUAAUACGGAGGGUGCGAGCGUUACUCGGAAUUACUGGGCGUAAAGCGUGCGUAGGUGGUUGUUUAAGUCUGAUGUGAAAGCCCUGGGCUCAACCUGGGAAUGGCAUUGGAAACUGGGCAGCUAGAGUGCGGUAGAGGGUAGUGGAAUUCCUGGUGUAGCAGUGAAAUGCGUAGAGAUCGGGAGGAACAUCUGUGGCGAAGGCGACUGCCUGGACCAGCACUGACACUGAGGCACGAAAGCGUGGGGAGCAAACA